CACAAAACAGUCGCUAGGUGCA
rnacentral:siRNA from 1 species